rnacentral:rRNA from 1 species
AUUGAACGCUGGCGGAAUGCUUUACACAUGCAAGUCGAGCGGCAGCGCGGGGCAACCUGGCGGCGAGCGGCGAACGGGUGAGUAACAUAUCGGAACGUAUCCAUAAGUGGGGGACAACCUAGCGAAAGUUAGGCUAAUACCGCAUACGCUCGAGAGAGGAAAGUGGGGGAUCGCAAGACCUCACGCUUUAGGAGCGGCCGAUAUCAGAUUAGCUAGAUGGUGAGGUAAAGGCUUACCAUGGCGACGAUCUGUAGCUGGUCUGAGAGGAUGAUCAGCCACACUGGGACUGAGACACGGCCCAGAGUCCUACGGGAGGCAGCAGUGGGGAAUUUUGGACAAUGGGGGCAACCCUGAUCCAGCCAUUCCGCGUGAGUGAAGAAGGCCUUCGGGUUGUAAAGCUCUUUUGUCGGGGACGAAACGGUUACAGCUAAUAUCUGUGACUACUGACGGUACCCGAAGAAUAAGCACCGGCUAACUACGUGCCAGCCGCCGCGGUAAGAC